rnacentral:lncRNA from 1 species
CAGGAAAUAACUUUUGAAUUUUCUUCUCUAAGAUGUAUGUAGAUAAUAUCUUUGAAAGGUAAUCAUGGCUUAUUCAGUCAAAAGCAAUGAUUGUAUCUAAUCAGUUAUUUUCUUCCCCACCUCAAAAUCCAAAAUCCUUCUUGGCUCAUUUGCUGGCCCUCCUGCCUUUAAAAUAUUUCUACAAAUAUUUUAUACUGGGAAUUGAGUUACGUCAGUAGGUUUU